GAAGUAAAAUAAAUUUGAAAAUGUCAUAUUGAUGACUGAUAAUGGUUUAAUUUAAUUAUAAACCUUUUUAUGAAACUUAAUUUUUGAUUCCUAUUUUUGAAUGAAGUAUUGAUGCAGCGCAAGAAGAUGACAGUCUUGGAAGACUAGUCAAUGAUGACCACAUCUAUCCAAACUGCAAAAUGAAGAGGGUCAUAGCAGAGGGCAAGCCACAUCUUUGUCUUUUUGCUCUGAGAGACAUUAAGGCUGGAGAAGAAAUAACGUAUGACUAUGGAGGAUCUGAUUGGCCUUGGAGAAAACAGGUUUGUAACUCUUGAAUUGUGUGAUGUAGAUUAGUGAAUGUGCAUAUUUGCUUUCAUGAGGAGAUCGGUGAAGGAUUUGUGUUUCUUUUGUGAGAUUUAUUCUGCUACUGGUUUUUUAAUCUGAGUUUUUUUAAAUCAAAUGACAGUGAUUGCUAAUGCUAAUAAGUUUGAAGGGACAAAUACAGGAAAAAAGCCUUUUCUUCAGUACAGGGACAAUAUACUUAAGCUAAAUAACCAGAAGUGUGUUCUGCCACUCUUCAGCUUUCCUUAUUCUUAAUUACAGUAGUAUAUUAGCAGACAUCUGUGCUAAAUUGAAAAUUUAAUAAUCAAAUAUAACUGACUUUUAGUUGUAUACAGAGACUAUUUAAGUUGCAUCAUCAAUUGCAUGUUUCCUGUAUACAUGUACUUCAUAUUGUGACUGAUUCAUACAAGUGUUAAUGCUGAUAUGCUAAAUACAGAUAUUGAAUUCAUUUGUCAGGCUAAAGUGCAAGAAACUGCAUCUGAUACACUGUCAUCAGAGGAGGUUCCCCAGAGUCCUUCCCCCUCCAAGAUGCAGGCUAAAGUGCAAAAUACUGCAGCUGAUACACUGUCAUCAGAGGAGGUUCCUCAGAGCCCUUCGUUCUCCGAGAUGCAGGCUAAAACACAAGAAACUAGCGCUGAUACACUGUCAUCAGAAGAGGUUCCUCAGAGCCCUUCCCUCUCCGAGAUGCAGGCUAAAACACAAGAAACUAGCGCUGAUACACUGUCAUCAGAGGAGGUUCCUCAGAGCCCUUUGUUCUCCGAGAUGCAGGCUAAAACACAAGAAACGGGCGCUGAUACACUGUCAUCAGAGGAGGUACCUCAGAGCCCUUCCCUCUCCCAUAUGCAGAGUUUACAAGAAGCAGGAGUCUUUCAUUCAAUGAAAACUAUAAAAUCAGAACCGCUUGUGAACUACACUGAUUCUGAUGAUGAGAGUCCAUCCAUAAGUCCUGACCAAUUGAAGUCAACAUGCCAGAUGACAAGACAACUAGAUUUGGAUGAGCACUUUGACUUUACAUCCGAUCCUAGUGAAAAUGCACACGAGGACAGUGACAAUGAGGCAGCAAGUGAGUCAGAGCCACAAGAGAAUGUGGAUGAGGACAAUGACAGUGGAGCAGCAUGUGGGUCAGGGUCACAAGAGAGUGUGGAUGUACUUGACGACAGCAUCAAUGGGGCAGCAUGUAAGUCACAAGAGUGUCUGGUUAAAUGUAAUCAGACUGAAGAUGGCAAGGCUACACUGACGGAUGUUAGUGAUUCAGCACCACAUCAAAGUUUCAUGGCUACAACAUAUAAGUCACCAAAACAAAUAGGUUGGCAUAUUAACAAUUUUACUAGCAUUUUUGCUUAAGAAGUAUACUUUUCAUGAAUUCAGAUAUAGUGUUGUCUUCUCCUUGUGCAUUUAUAGUCUUCAAAUGAUUUUUAAUGAAGCAUUUUUCAUAUAUAGACCUAUACACCAAUAUUAAUUUGAGUUGUGUAAUUGUACAGGUCGCCAAGUUUUCAAAAGAAGGAAAUGGGAGAAUGAAGAGGUACAAGCUGUUGAAAGACAUCUGAUGCACUUCAUUACCUCAUGCCGUGUUCCAGGAAAACUUGAAAUUGAUAAGUGUCUUGGGGUUGAAAAUGUGGCGCUGAAAGACAGGGACUGGUUGUCCAUAAAGUUUUAUGUCAAGAACCGUAUAACAGCUUUGAAAAGAAAGGCCUUUGAAACUGGCCUCUGAAACACAGUUCAAUAGUAACUGUUCAAUUGUUUGUCUAAAGCAGCGUUUUUGUUUACAAUGCUGUAACUGAAUAAUUCUUAUAUUUGAAUGACUACCUUUUUUGUUCAUAUUUUUAUAAACAAAUCUUCUAUAUCAGAAUAUGAAUCUGAUCUUUUUUUUUUUUUUACAGAAGUUCAAGGUAAAUACCAGUAACUAAUGUUCAAAUAAAAUUAUGUGGCUUACACA
rnacentral:lncRNA from 1 species